CGGGGCGUAGCGCAGCCAGGUUUAGCGCGCAGCGUUCGGGACGCUGAGGUCGGCGGUUCGAAUCCGCCCUCUCCGACCA
rnacentral:tRNA from 1 species